rnacentral:rRNA from 1 species
AACGAACGCUGGCGGCAGGCUUAACACAUGCAAGUCGAACGCAUCCUUCGGGGUGAGUGGCAGACGGGUGAGUAACGCGUGGGAACGUGCCCUUCAGUUCGGGAUAACCCAGGGAAACUUGGGCUAAUACCGGAUACGUGCGAGAGCAGAAAGAUUUAUCGCUGAAGGAUCGGCCCGCGUCUGAUUAGCUAGUUGGUGGGGUAAUGGCCCACCAAGGCGACGAGCAGUAGCUGGUCUGAGAGGAUGAUCAGCCACAUUGGGACUGAGACACGGCCCAAACUCCUACGGGAGGCAGCAGUGGGGAAUAUUGGACAAUGGGCGCAAGCCUGAUCCAGCCAUGCUGCGUGAGUGAUGAAGGCCUUAGGGUUGUAAAGCUCUUUCGUCCGGGACGAUAAUGACGGUACCGGAAGAAGAAGCCCCGGCUAACUUCGUGCCAGCAGCCGCCGUAA